AGAUUUUGGUGACUGUCUCUCAAUCUGGGUUCACAUGACCGCACUAUGGGCACGCAUUUCUGUCUCCGUGCAGGACACAGUAUGUCUUAUUACUGGUUAAGGUGGUAUCUGUCAGGUUUUUCCACCGUGAAGUUACCAUUUUUCCCUUUGUGAUAUAUAAAUCUCUUGGGA